UCAGCUGCCUUGUUCCCCCUUCCUGUGUGUUUGUGUCUCCCUUUUUCCCCUCCGUGUCUGUCUGUUUGUCUCUACCUGGAAGUGACAGGGGGCGUGUCAAGAGGAACUAGGUCAAGAGGCGUGGCCAUUCAUCCCUGCUCUGUUGCCGGCACAGCUGAUGCUCAUUCCAUGAUUCACACCUGCAGUAUUUAAACCCGGGCUGUUCACCUCUUCACCGUCAGAUUGUUACAUACCUCGACGUGAUCCCACCGUAACCUGCUUCCCACCUGCCGUGCUCCGCCGUGCUGCCUGCCUCACACCAACUCAGACAUAACCACCUGUUUCGUCUGGAUUCAACUGUGGAACUGCUUCAGAUCUGUCACUGCCUGGUUUCAGUCCACUCCCAGAAAACUACUAGCUCUGCCUAGAUUGUUCAUCUCCACUGAGUAUUUUCACCUAAUAAAUACUUGAACUAUU